rnacentral:rRNA from 1 species
CUGGGCUUGACAUGUUCCUGACAGCCGUGGAAACACGGUCUCCCUUCGGGGCAGGAUCACAGGUGGUGCAUGGCUGUCGUCAGCUCGUGUCGUGAGAUGUUGGGUUAAGUCCCGCAACGAGCGCAACCCCCGUCGCAUGUUGCCAGCAUUUAGUUGGGGACUCAUGCGAGACUGCCGGUGACAAACCGGAGGAAGGUGGGGAUGACGUCAAGUCAUCAUGCCCCUUAUGUCCAGGGCUACACACGUGCUACAUUGGCGCGUACAGAGGGUUGCGAUACCGCGAGGUGGAGCGAAUCCCUUAAAGCGCGUCUCGGUUCGGAUUGCAGGCUGAAACCCGCCUGCAUGAAGGCGGAGUUGCUAGUAAUCGCGGAUCAGCACUGCCGCGGUGAAUACGUUCCC